CCUACGUGAGGCAGCAGUGAGGAAUAUUGGUCAAUGGGCUUACGCCUGAACCAGCCAAGUCGCGUGAGGGAAGACUGCCCUAUGGGUUGUAAACCUCUUUUGUCAGGGAGCAACGCCGGCUACGUGUAGCCGGACUGAGAGUACCUGAAGAAAAAGCAUCGGCUAACUCCGUGCCAGCAGCCGCGGUAAUACGGAGGAUGCGAGCGUUAUCCGGAUUUAUUGGGUUUAAAGGGUGCGUAGGCGGAAUGCCAAGUCAGCGGUAAAAUCGCGGGGCUCAACCUCGCUCCGCCGUUGAAACUGGCGUUCUUGAGUGGGCGAGAGGUAUGCGGAAUGCGUGGUGUAGCGGUGAAAUGCAUAGAUAUCACGCAGAACUUCGAUUGCGAAGGCAGCAUACCGGCGCCCAACUGACGCUGAAGCACGAAAGCGUGGGUAUCGAACAGGAUUAGAUACCCUGGUAGUC
rnacentral:rRNA from 1 species